UACGUAGGUGACAAGCGUUGUCCGGAUUUAUUGGGCGUAAAGAGCGUGUAGGCGGCCAGACAGGUCCGUUGUGAAAACUCGAGGCUUAACCUCGAGACGUCGAUGGAAACCGUUUGGCUAGAGUCCGGAAGAGGAGAGUGGAAUUCCUGGUGUAGCGGUGAAAUGCGCAGAUAUCAGGAAGAACACCCGUGGCGAAGGCGGCUCUCUGGGACGGUACUGACGCUGAGACGCGAAAGCGUGGGGAGCGAACAGG
rnacentral:rRNA from 1 species